rnacentral:rRNA from 1 species
AUUGAACGCUGGCUGCAGGCCUAACACAUGCAAGUCGAACGAGUGGCGGACGGGUGAGUAAUGUCUGGGAAACUGCCUGAUGGAGGGGGAUAACUACUGGAAACGGUAGCUAAUACCGCAUACCAUCAGAUGUGCCCAGAUGGGAUUAGCUAGUUGGUGGGGUAACGGCUAACCAAGGCGACGAUCCCUAGCUGGUCUGAGAGGAUGACCAGCCACACUGGAACUGAGGCACUGUCCAGACUCCUACGGUAGGCAGCCGUGGGUACUUUUGCACAAUGGGCGCAAGCCUGAUGCAGCCAUGCCGCGUGUAUGAAGAAGGCCUUCGGGUUGUAAAGUACUUUCAGCGGGGAGGCGUUACCCGCAGAAGUAGCACCGGCUAACCCCGUGCCAGCAGCCGCGGUAAUUC